GAAACCCAAGACCAGCACCUGCAAGAGACCGAGGCUCCUUGGAAAGUCUGCACCAUGAGCUGGACUGCCCUCCUCCUCCUCCUCCUCGCUCUCUGCCCAGGGUCCAGGUCUCAGGCUGUGGUCACUCAGGAGCCCUCAAUGACUGUGUCCCCUGGAGGGACAGUCACUCUCACCUGUGGCUCCAGCACAGGGGCUGUCACCGAUGGCCUCUACCCGUACUGGAUCCAGCAGAAGCCUGGUCAGGUCCCCAGGACACUCAUUUAUAACACAGACAAGAAACACUCCUGGACGCCGGCCCGGUUCUCAGGCGCCAUCCAAGGGGGCAAAGCUGCCCUGACCCUCUCGGCGGCCCAGCCUGAGGACGAGGCCGAGUACUACUGCUGGCUAUACUUCAGUGGUGCUCACCACAGUGAGCGACCCUGA